CUAAUUUUAUCAAAGGGUGUGAUAUGUAUGGAGCAUAUAUAAUAGAGAGAGACAUAGAGGUGGGUUGUGCUAGGUGGAGAAGCAGGGCACGUGCAUUACCAUCUAAUAUAUGCAUGGCCAUAAUCAACCUACUUAAUUAACCAUGAUGCAUGAGGGGUUUUAAAUUGGAUGGUAUUUCAUGUGCCCAUCUUCUCCACCGAGCCUAACACAUCUAAUUUUAAUGGCGAUCGAAGGUAAAGCGAAAGGAAAUGCUAUAAUAAUGGAGGCUUCAAUUGGGAUUUUGAUGCAUAUAACUCUUCUCUUCGAACCCAUUUCGCUCUUAAGUUCGCACUUCGCCGAACAGGACCCAAUUCUGAAGCAGAUCCCCAGCACCGUCGGCUCUCGCAAAUCUCAAACAAUAUCGUCGAGUUAAUGCAUUUCGAUUGUAUAUUAUUGGACAUAGUUGUACCGAAACAUUUGUAUUGUUCGGAAAUGUAUUAUUUUCUCUAUCAUUAGAUGUGCACCUAUGACUAGCGUGUUCAUGGGACUAGCGUGUUCAUGGGAGCAGUGAAUAAACAAAAACUUAGAACUAAA